UACGUAGGUGGCAAGCGUUGUCCGGAUUUUUUGGGUUUAAAGGGUGCGUAGGCGGUCUUUUAAGUCAGUGCUGAAAUAUCCCGGCUUAACCGGGAGGGUGGCAUUGAUACUGAAGGACUUGAGUUCAGUCGAGGUAGGCGGAAUUGACGGUGUAGCAGUGAAAUGCGUAGAUAUCGUAAGGAAGACCAGUGGCGAAGGCGGAUCUCUGGACAGUUACUGACACUGAGGCACGAAGGCCAGGGGAGCAAACGGG
rnacentral:rRNA from 1 species